UAAUAAUCCAAAUUAAAUUCAAUAGGGCCAGCUGCCAUUUUUUUGAGUUUUUUUUUUUGGUUUGUUUAUAGAAAUUAAAUGGUGUAAGUUUAUCUAUAUCAUUAGUGCUAAGAAUGAGUAUAUGACUUAAUAUCUCUUUUUAUUUUUCCUAUCGUUUUGACCUUUUAAAUGAGAUUAUUGCUGGACAUGAAGGACAAUUUCAUGUAAUUAUUUGGGUACAAAAUUUGAAAGUUUUGAAAAAUUUGAUUCUUCACAAUGGUCAAACUUUUGAAUAUAUUUUUCUAACUAG
rnacentral:lncRNA from 1 species